rnacentral:rRNA from 1 species
UCAGGUGGCCGCAGAGAAUAGGCCCAAGCGACUGUUUACCAAAAACAUAGGUUUCUGCUAAGUCGCAAGACGAUGUAUAGGAGCUGACGCCUGCCCGGUGCUGGAAGGUUAAGGGGAUCUGUUAGAGCAAUCGAAGCAGUGAACUUAAGCCCCAGUAAACGGCGGCCGUAACUAUAACGGUCCUAAGGUAGCGAAAUUCCUUGUCGGGUAAGUUCCGACCCGCACGAAAGGCGUAACGAUUUGGGCACUGUCUCAACAACAGACUCGGUGAAAUUGUAAUUCCGGUGAAGAUGCCGGAUACCUGCGACAGGACGGAAAGACCCCAUGGAGCUUUACUGUAGCUUGACAUUGGGUCUUGGUACUACAUGUACAGGAUAGGUGGGAGGCUUUGAAACCAGGACGCCAGUUUUGGCGGAGCCAUCCUUGGGAUACCACCCUUGUAGUACUGGGACUCUAACCAUAGGCCAUGAAUCUGGUCUUGGGACACUGUCAGGUGGGCAGUUUGACUGGGGCGGUCGCCUCCCAAAAGGUAACGGCGGCGCUCAAAGGUUCUCUCAGUACGGUCGGAAAUCGUACGUCGAGUGUAAAGGCAAAAGAGAGCUUGAUUGCAAGACAUACAGGUCGAGCAAGGAUGAAAAUCGGACUUAGUGAUCCGGUGGUUCUGCGUGGAAGGGCCAUCGCUCAACGGAUAAAAGCUACCCUGGGGAUAACAGGCUUAUCUCCCCCAAGAGUCCACA